AGCGAACGCUGGCGGCAGGCUUAACGCAUGCAAGUCGAGCGGGCAUCCUUGUGGUGUCAGCGGCAGACGGGUGAGUAACGCGUGGGAACGUGCCCUUCGGUUCGGAAUAACUCAGGGAAACUUGAGCUAAUACCGGAUACGUGCGAGAGCAGAAAGGUUUAUCUGCCGAAGGAUCGGCCCGCGUCUGAUUAGCUAGUUGGUGAGGUUACGGCUCACCAAGGCGACGAUCAGUAGCUGGUCUGAGAGGAUGAUCAGCCACACUGGGACUGAGACACGGCCCAGACUCCUACGGGAGGCAGCAGUGGGGAAUAUUGGACAAUGGGGGCAACCCUGAUCCAGCCAUGCCGCGUGAGUGAUGACGGCCUUAGGGUUGUAAAGCUCUUUUCUCCGGGACGAUAAUGACGGUACCGGAGGAAUAAGCCCCGGCUAACUUCGUG
rnacentral:rRNA from 1 species